AAAUACAAAUUUAGCCAUCAACAAAAUGAUAUAUCUCAUCGAUAGUUUAGCUAAAAAUAACACACCUCCUGUUUAAUGGUUAGACGUUGUAGAGAAAAAAAGACAAUAAAAUUUAAAGGGAAGAUUAGUAAAUUUUUAGGCUUUUCGCUCUUUUUGCAGCUGAAUAUUUUUUAUCUCUUGCUUUUCCUUUCUUUCUAUUUAAUAUCAUAUUUGCAGUAGACAUCGGUGAUAAAGUGUAGAAAGAGUAGACGGAACAAAUGCAUCUUUCAUGAAUUAUCGAUGCGCCGCUUGGCAAUUGCCGCCAGCGACGUCGCGUUUAAAUUUCUCCAAUUUCGUCUGUUACGGAUAAAUAUGAUACGUCACGCGAUCCGGAGCUGUUUAGACGCCGAUUAAUUCCUGGACAACGAAGGAAGAGAAAUAGCGAAAAGUUGACAAAUUUGGUUAGCAUUUAACUUCUCCAAACGUACCGAUAUUAUAAAUUGCACCGUACAGAGUAUUUAUGUUAGAUUUCUUCAUCCGUAGAUUGCGAAUCGAUUGAAGCUCGUUACGCUUCGCAAUUACGCUCGCUCGAGUGAAUUCGCGUGCGACAGUUGAACUCCUGAAAAGUCGAGACGGAAUUGCGGAAUCGUUGUCUCUUUCUUCGACCAGUGUAGCGUAUCAUCGUGGGUCUGACAGUUCGACAGAUAUAUUCCAUCAAUUAACCUUGAAGACAGAAAGCUAUUCUAUUAAUGCUGAAAUAUUAUCAUACUUUAAAACAAGGAAAACAUAUGCAUGAUGAAUUAUAAUCAAAGACACAGAAUUUUAAAAAGAUUCUCCUUUCUGCUUUCUAAAGAUUGAACAGCAGAGAUUACUGUGGUUAUUCAUAAAGAAAUAAAAGGAAAAUUUGUAUCUGCUUGUGAUAAGCCGCUAGAGAUUGUUUCCUGAACAACUCGAGCUCGCGCAUGUCCGCGAAUGUUACCCCGGACGACUGCCAAUCGUCAAACGGUACGGUAAUCCACAGCAACAAUUUGUCAGUCAUCGUCAGUAUAGCCAGUCAUUGUCAUCGCGACCAUCGCGUGACCCGCCCGGAUGAUCAACAUCCCGACAGACGUCAACAACGGUAGUCGACUCAGUAGUCGCUCGUGGUUUGCAUUGUGCCAGGUCACUCCGCUGCAUCUCGACGGACGAAUCUCGCAGUGACAGUCAGUAGUCGCCAGUCGUUGGCUAGGUACGCUACGCUUGUACUGCGGCGCUCGGUCUCGGAGUGUUUUUCCACCCGUUCCUUUUUAUUGCCAGAAGGUAUAUCACAACCGACGUAGCCGAGGGAGCCA